AGUGGGAUUGCUGGGUAAUAUGGUAAGUGUAUGUUUAACUUUUUAAGAAAUUGCUAAAUGCUUUUCCAGAGUGCCUGUAUCAUUUUGUAUUUCCACCAGCAAU
rnacentral:pre_miRNA from 1 species